rnacentral:rRNA from 1 species
UACGUAGGGACCAAGCGUUGUUCGGAUUUACUGGGCGUAAAGGGCGCGUAGGCGGCGCGGUAAGUCACUUGUGAAAUCUCUGAGCUUAACUCAGAACGGCCAAGUGAUACUGCAGUGCUAGAGUGUGGAAGGGGCAAUCGGAAUUCUUGGUGUAGCGGUGAAAUGCGUAGAUAUCAAGAGGAACACCGGUGGCGAAGGCGGUUCUCUGGGCAUUACCUGACGCUGAGGAGCGAAAGUGUGGGGAGCGAACAGG